AAAAAAAUGGUGUAUUUUCACAACAGAAUAUCAUUUGUCCACAAAAAAGAAUAAAAUUCUACCAUUUGUAGUAACAUGGAUGAACCUGGAGGACAUUAUGUCAAGUUAAAUAAACCAGGAACAGAAAGACAAAUAUUGUGUGUUCUCGCUCAUAUAUGGAAUCUUAAAAAGUUGAUCGGAUAGAAACAGAGAGAAAAAUAAUGGUUACCAGAGGCUGGGAAGGUUAGGCAUGAAGGGAAGAAGUACAAAGGUGGUCAAAGUAUACACAAUUAUAGAGUUCUAGUUAGAUAGGAUAAGUUCCAGUGUUGCAUUGCACAGUAGGUUGACCAUAGUUAACAAUACUAUACUGUAUAUUUCAAAAUAACUGGAACAAAUGAUUUUGAACCUUCUUACCACAAAAAAUGACAAAUGCCUG
rnacentral:lncRNA from 1 species